rfam:Tilletia walkeri strain DAOM 236422 scaffold_133 mitochondrial, whole genome shotgun sequence.
GGGAACGUAGCAUAAUUGGUUAAUGUCCUAAAUUGUCAGUUUAGUGUAUGCCAGUUCGAGUCUGGUCGUUCUCG